UAAGUGACUAAGCGUACACGGUGGAUGCCUUGGCAGUCAGAGGCGAUGAAAGACGUAGUAACUUGCGAUAAGCCCAGAUUAGGUAGUAACAACCAUUUGAGUCUGGGAUUUUCUGAAUGGGGAAACCCACGUGCAUAAGCACGUAUCCUUACCUGAAUACAUAGGGUAAGGAGGCGAACCGGGGGAACUGAAACAUCUAAGUACCCCGAGGAAAAGAAAUCAACCGAGAUUCCGAAAGUAGCGGCGAGCGAAAUUGGACUAGCCCUUAAGCUUUACACGCGUUAGACGAACGGUCUGGAAAGUCCGACGAUACAGGGUGAUAGUCCCGUAGUUGACGACGUGUGUUCAGUGAAAUCGAGUAGGGCGGGACACGUGAUAUCCUGUCUGAAUAUGGGGGGACCAUCCUCCAAGGCUAAAUACUACUGACUGACGAUAGUGAACCAGUACCGUGAGGGAAGGCGAAAAGAACCCCUGUGAGGGGAGUGAAAUAGAACCUGAAACCGUGUACGUACAAGCAGUAGGAGCAGGCUUUGUCCUGUGACUGCGUACCUUUUGUAUAAUGGGUCAGCGACUUAUAUUCAGUGGCAAGGUUAACCAUCUAGGGGAGCCGUAGGGAAACCGAGUCUUAACUGGGCGUUCAGUCUCUGGAUAUAGACCCGAAACCAGGUGAUCUAGCCAUGGGCAGGUUGAAGGUUGAGUAACAUCAACUGGAGGACCGAACCGACUAAUGUUGAAAAAUUAGCGGAUGACUUGUGGCUAGGGGUGAAAGGCCAAUCAAACCUGGAGAUAGCUGGUUCUCCCCGAAAGCUAUUUAGGUAGCGCCUCGGACGAAUACUACUGGGGGUAGAGCACUGUUAAGGCUAGGGGGUCAUCCCGACUUACCAACCCUUUGCAAACUCGAAUACCAGUAAGUACUAUCCGGGAGACACACGGCGGUGCUAACGUCCGUCGUGGAGAGGGAAACAACCCAGACCGCCAGCUAAGGUCCCAAAUUACUACUAAGUGGGAAACGAUGUGGGAAGGCUCAGACAGCCAGGAUGUUGGCUUAGAAGCAGCCAUCAUUUAAAGAAAGCGUAAUAGCUCACUGGUCGAGUCGGCCUGCGCGGAAGAUGUAACGGGGCUAAGUAGUAACCGAAGCUGCGGCAAUGUGCUUUGCACAUUGGGUAGGGGAGCGUUCUGUAAGCGGUUGAAGGUGUGUGGUAACGCAUGCUGGACGUAUCAGAAGUGCGAAUGCUGACAUGAGUAACGAUAAAGGGGGUGAAAAACCUCCUCGCCGGAAGACCAAGGGUUCCUGUCCAACGUUAAUCGGGGCAGGGUAAGUCGACCCCUAAGGCGAGGCCGAAAGGCGUAGUCGAUGGGAAACGGGUUAAUAUUCCCGUACUUCUUACAAUUGCGAUGGGGGGACGGAGAAGGCUAGGUGGGCCUGGCGACGGUUGUCCAGGUUCAAGUGCGUAGGCUUAAGAGUUAGGUAAAUCCGGCUCUUUUUAAGGCUGAGACACGACGUCGAGCAUCUACGGAUGUGAAGUCAUUGAUGCCAUGCUUCCAGGAAAAGCCUCUAAGCUUCAGAUUGUAAGGAAUCGUACCCCAAACCGACACAGGUGGUCGGGUAGAGAAUACCAAGGCGCUUGAGAGAACUCGGGUGAAGGAACUAGGCAAAAUGGUACCGUAACUUCGGGAGAAGGUACGCUCUCGACGGUGAAGUCCCUCGCGGAUGGAGCUAUUGAGAGUCGCAGAUACCAGGUGGCUGCAACUGUUUAUUAAAAACACAGCACUGUGCAAAAUCGUAAGAUGACGUAUACGGUGUGACGCCUGCCCGGUGCCGGAAGGUUAAUUGAUGGGGUUAGACUUCGGUCGAAGCUCUUGAUCGAAGCCCCGGUAAACGGCGGCCGUAACUAUAACGGUCCUAAGGUAGCGAAAUUCCUUGUCGGGUAAGUUCCGACCUGCACGAAUGGCGUAAUGAUGGCCACGCUGUCUCCACCCGAGACUCAGUGAAAUUGAAAUCGCUGUGAAGAUGCAGUGUACCCGCGGCUAGACGGAAAGACCCGUGAACCUUUACUACAGCUUGGCACUGAACAUUGACCCUACAUGUGUAGGAUAGGUGGGAGGCUUUGAAGCACGUACGCCAGUAUGUGUGGAGCCGUCCUUGAAAUACCACCCUUGUAGUGUUGAUGUUCUAACGUCGACCCCUUAUCGGGGUUGCGGACAGUGCCUGGUGGGUAGUUUGACUGGGGCGGUCUCCUCCCAAAGAGUAACGGAGGAGCACGAAGGUGGGCUAAUCACGGUUGGACAUCGUGAGGUUAGUGCAAUGGCAUAAGCCCGCUUGACUGCGAGAAUGACAAUUCGAGCAGGUGCGAAAGCAGGUCAUAGUGAUCCGGUGGUUCUGAAUGGAAGGGCCAUCGCUCAACGGAUAAAAGGUACUCCGGGGAUAACAGGCUGAUACCGCCCAAGAGUUCAUAUCGACGGCGGUGUUUGGCACCUCGAUGUCGGCUCAUCACAUCCUGGGGCUGAAGUCGGUCCCAAGGGUAUGGCUGUUCGCCAUUUAAAGUGGUACGCGAGCUGGGUUUAGAACGUCGUGAGACAGUUCGGUCCCUAUCUGCCGUGGGCGUUGGAAGAUUGAAGGGGGCUGCUCCUAGUACGAGAGGACCGGAGUGGACGAACCUCUGGUGUUCGGGUUGUGUCGCCAGACGCAUUGCCCGGUAGCUAAGUUCGGAAUCGAUAACCGCUGAAAGCAUCUAAGCGGGAAGCGAGCCCUGAGAUGAGUCUUCCCUGAUACUUUAAGUAUCCUAAAGGGUUGUCGGAGACUACGACGUUGAUAGGUCAGGUGUGUAAGUGCUGUGAGGCAUUGAGCUAACUGAUACUAAUUGCCCGUGAGGCUUAACCA
rnacentral:rRNA from 1 species